CAAUGAUGCUGCACCGAGGGUUC
rnacentral:piRNA from 1 species